rnacentral:rRNA from 1 species
UACGGAGGGUGCAAGCGUUAUCCGGAUUCACUGGGUUUAAAGGGUGCGUAGGCGGGCAGGUAAGUCAGUGGUGAAAUCUUCGAGCUUAACUCGGAAACUGCCGUUGAUACUAUCUGUCUUGAAUAACGUUGAGGUGAGCGGAAUAUGUCAUGUAGCGGUGAAAUGCUUAGAUAUGACAUAGAACACCGAUUGCGAAGGCAGCUCACUAAACGCUCAUUGGCGCUGAGGCACGAAAGCGUGGGGAUCAAACAGGAUUAGAAACCCGGGUAGU